ACCGUCCGGACUUGCCGGUUCCCCUAGAGAAUGCAGAAGGAAAUAGAAUCAGAUUAGAAGGGGAAGAAGCCUGGAGGAAUUGAAAUUUGAGACAGCCCUGCAAGUUCGUGUUUCAGGACCUAAUGGAGGGGGAGGGGGAGUAGAAUCAAAGCAACUGACCCAUGCUUGCUUUUGCACUUUGCUUUUUGAGUUGUGUUGUUUUCUUACCUUUCCCUUUUAAUUCCCUGUUUGUUCUUGUGAAGAGGGGAAAUAAAGACAGUGAAAAAAAGAGAGAAAAGUUUUGAGAGGCACUGCUAUCUGAUCCUUAAGGCUGCCCAUGUUCUCUGUCAAGUACAUUCCAAUUGUAUGAUAAUUCAGGUUAUAUAUGUAAAGUAAAUGGAAAGAGUUCAUCUUUGAGUGAUUCUAUGAGAUGGCAUGACACAUGAGAGAUCGCCCUGGUAAAGUGAGGUUCAAAAGCAGCUCCAAAGUGAGCAGCACCCUGAAGAAAUAAACAUCGCUUUCAGGAGAUCUGUCACAAUCCUUUUAUUGGGUGAAAUGAAUUGGUGUGAUAUUGCAUAGAAAUGACCAAAAUUAUGGUUCUGAUUCUCUCCUAAAUACCCUUUGAAAUGACAUCUUUAGUGGCUCUUCUGCCACCGUUCGAUCCAACCUAGGCGGCCCAGAUCGAAGUGGUAAAGAUGCCUGAAGUAUAUGUUGCGUAAGGGCCCCUAUACUGAUUCGUAUUACCGUUUAAGCCCGCUCAUAGACGGAUCACAAUUAGAGAUGCAAGUGGAUAGCAAUGGGCAGUUGUGAGUCACUAUUUAGUUUUUUUUAAUUUAAUUAGAUGAGAGUGAAUUUUUAGUUAAAUUUUUUAGUUUUAGAUCAACCUAAUAACCAAAAAUUACCAAACCUACAUCUCUAAUCGCGAUCCAAUUUGGGUCGUCAAUGACCGUUGGAUCUACCUUAGGCGGCCCAGAUCGAGGUGGCGUAGAAGCCCAAAGUAUAGUUUCACAGGGAUCCCUUGCAUUACUUUGCAGUUCCAAGAACUCCGUCACCAACUAAAACGAAGAACUCCAUCACAGACCGGCUUCGCCGCCGGUCCGCGGAGGAGGUGGAGGCCGGCGAGCUCGACGCCGCUAGGAACAUACGACGGCACGUUCUCGCGGAGAGCCUCUUCCGCGCCGCCACACCGUCGCAGAUCCCUCGCCAUCUCCGCAUUUCUAGUUGGAGCUCGGCAUCCGCAUCCCGCGAGAAUUUGUUCCAAACUGCUAGAGCUCGACCUCAGUGAGCAAGCAAAGCUGGAGGCUGGAGCCAUUCUUUUCCUGCUGCAGUCUACAAGUUGCUUGGGCACUCUUUGGGUUUGCAUAGCAUGGAUGAACAUUCUAUAUUUCUAGACUAAAUAGGUCAAUGAUGCCAUCAUAUCCUCAGAAUGCAACGGGUUCUCCAUAUCUUCAACUUUCUGAAUUUUUCUGCUUACAGACCAUCGGAAUUCUAAUUGCAUGCUGAUUAUAAUACGUAAACAUGUGAUGUGAGAAGCGUAGAAUUGAUGCUUCUAAUCACAACCACAUAGAUGAAUGACACUGGCACAUCAUAAUGCUCUUUUGCUAUGACAACCUCAAUCAAAGUAAGGGGGGAAAUCGUAACUUCAGUUACCAGUUCUGUCUUCGCUGUUUACAGUGUCUAAUUUUUCUUGAUGGAUUUAGCUACGGAGAUUACAUUGAUGUGCCGCGGCCAUGGGUUACAUACUUCCACUCGACCAUCUUAGAGCCAUGGGGUGUGCAAACUCUGCGAGCCAGGUUUUGCAGAGUGGCAUUGGUAGACUGAAUUGGGAAAAUUUUCACCUGCUGUCUAAACUCUGGAGACGUCAAAGUUCAAACCACUUAUACAGGACAUUCCUGAAGAAGUGUUUGGAAAUUCAUCAGGCUAUAUGGCCAGUAACACGUCAACAAACAAACGAGUAAACAACAACGGUUGGUGUAGAGUCACACAAAAUUUUCAGGCAGCCUUAAUCUCGAACAAAAUUCUCAUUCCUUUGUAUCAAGAUGCUCCGAAGUCAAACUACAGAUGUCAAGAGGAGACAGUACUCCAUACGACCAUACUACUAAAAUCCUGCCUCAUUUGUUAUGUACAACUCAGUAACCGUAAAACAUGAUUGGGGGGGGGGGGGGG